AGCGAACGCUGGCGGCAGGCCUAACACAUGCAAGUCGAACGGAUCCUUCGGGAUUAGUGGCGGACGGGUGAGUAACACGUGGGAACGUGCCUUUUGGUUCGGAACAACUCAGGGAAACUUGAGCUAAUACCGGAUAAGCCUUUCGAGGGAAAGAUUUAUCGCCAUUAGAGCGGCCCGCGUAGGAUUAGCUAGUUGGUGGGGUAAAGGCCCACCAAGGCUACGAUCCUUAGCUGGUCUGAGAGGAUGAUCAGCCACAUUGGGACUGAGACACGGCCCAAACUCCUACGGGAGGCAGCAGUGGGGAAUCUUGCGCAAUGGGCGAAAGCCUGACGCAGCCAUGCCGCGUGAAUGAUGAAGGUCUUAGGAUUGUAAAAUUCUUUCACCGGGGACGAUAAUGACGGUACCCGGAGAAGAAGCCCCGGCUAACUUCGUG
rnacentral:rRNA from 1 species